CCUAGUACAAAAGGAUGGUUACAAGCAAUUAGCUUCUGCAGGUCCAUUUCAUUGACAAUAUACCCACACAAGAAGAGGGUACACCAGCACCAUACAAGCACCAUCCAUACAUCAAAUAUGCAAGAAGUGAGGGUCUAGGAGCACUUGCAUAUUACUAGUGUUAGGAAGACCAAGGAGAAACAUAUGUAUUGACCUGCUAAUGAUUUGCAAAGCCAAGCGAUAAUACUGAUAAUGAUUUAAAAGCAGAUGACUAAUUCCAGUAUUUUGCAGAAGACUACAGAAAAUGUAACAACAGAUUCCUUCUGAUGUAAAACUAAUUAAGUAGUCGAGUUCUCCAUUUGUGAAGCCAACAUAAAUCAUGACAGAACAAUCAGUUCAUGGCACAAUAUAUCUGUUAUUGAUCAUAGACACCAUCUUAGCAGCAAGUUACAAUAUCAGACGAUGUACAUCACUAUAUAUACCACUAUAUAGUGCCUAAUGUCAAUCCAUACAAGCAGUACAUGAGGCAUAGACAACCUGGAGUGCCGAAAAGGACACACACCAGAUCUACUCCCUCCGUUCCUAAAUAUAAGUCCUUUUUAGAGAUUCCACUAGAAGACUACAUGAUGUAUAUAGACGUCUUUUAGAGUAUAGGUUCAUUCAUUUUGCUCCGUAUCUAGUCUAUAGUGGAAUCUCUAGAAAGACUUAUAUUUAGGAAUGAAGGGAGUAUGUCUUAUGAAGAAGAUUUUUCUGUUUCAGGCAUGACUCCCUCCUUUGGUGCUACCGAGCUUGGAUAGUAGGUAGAGGCAACCUGAAGAGAGGAAGAUAGAUCCAGCGAAGCAGAAGAGGUCAGUACACGACGUGAUGGUCACCCUCUUGCUCUUCUCGGAGAUGCCAACCAGCAGAACCAGGACGAUUACAUGACCCAGCUUUGUCUUGAGGUCACUCACCGAGCGGAUUUCCAGCCACUUGGGCCGUUCCUGUCGAUGGAAUCAGAGAUAUAAGAACACUGAAUAAACCACAUUACAUCUAUGAGAACUGGGAGGAGACCAACCGGAAGCUUGAACAAGCCAAAGAGGCUGGAGCGGUCAUGGGACUGUUUUGCAAUGUCCAUGUUACUGAUGAACAGCUCGUACAGGCCCGUCCCGAAGACAAACAUGACGGUGCCGAUGAGAUACAUAUCUGAGGUGAGACAAGUAAUGCACAAUGGUCAGGCAUCACAACUACUCAUGUCAACUGACGGCAGGUAUGUAGUGAUAAUGCAAAACUGGCGACAAUUGUGCCGACAUCUAAAACCUAUGCUAAUGGUGAAUUUGAUGGCACUGAUGAGGUUGAAUCAGUUUGUUACCAAUGGCUUCAAUCAGCAUGAGCACGACCUUCCCAUCCCCGCGCAAGUAGUACUCCACGAAGGCGUCCAUCACAAAAGUGCAGCCCUGGUAACCAACCAAGUGCACGGGUUAAAAUCAGAUCGGGAGACACGGAGAUGAACUUGGCGGGCUGAUGAAUCAAGCAGGGAAAGCACCUUGAGGAAGCAGAGGACGGAUCCGGCGAGAGAUCCGGCGAUGGCGAGGAAGGCCAUGAAGCGGCAGGCGUAGAUGACCUUCUCGAUGCCCGCCUCCAGGUCCGACCCGAAUCCCUCGCGGGGCAGACCGAAUGGGCGGAACCGCACGCCGUGGUGCGGCUCGGCGUGCACGGCGCUCGCCGCGGCGGCCGCGUGGGGGCUAGGCGUCCCCCUGACCCUCACGCGCUGCCCCGGCCGCGCCCUCGGCCUCGGCCUCCACGCCCAGCCGCCGCGGCACCCCGCGCCCACCGAAGCCUCGGCCGCGGCCGCCGACGCCACACCGGAACCGAAGGGUCUGGGCCUCAUCAUCGCCGCCGCUCCGAUUCAGCCCUUCAGCGGCGCGGAGCUGGUGGCUAAGUAGGCAACGGCGAGCGAUGGAGCGCCACAAGUGGGGCGCCACGUUCUGCGCACCGUGUCGGGUGCGGACGCGGAGGGCGACGGCGACGGCGACCUCGUCGGGUUGCGGGCCGACGAGUCCACGUUGGCGGGGGAGGAGGAGAGUACCUCCCCCUUUCCCGCGCCGUGCAUCCCGUCCGAACGGUUGGUGAAACGGACGGAGAUACUUCCGCGCUCGGGGCGAUGAUCUGGCGGCCUCGUGUCGUCGUCGUCUUCCCCGGCGAGCCUCGGCCACUCCUUUCCGCGGACUCUCUCUCGUCGGCGCCACAGCCCGUGCACGGCUCGCGUCGUCACUCGCGAGUUUUUUUUUUUUUUGUAUGUGUGUGUGUAAGCCUCUGACUGGUUGGUUUGUUGGGCCACGCCAGCGGGCCAAAUUGUAACGUCGCAAUUUGAUGAGGCUUUGUUCAGUGCACUUAUUUUUACUGGAUGAUGCAUCGGGGCGGUGCUACGGAAACUUGCUAAAAACAUCUAUAUAACUUAUAAAAAAUGAAUGUAAGCUUAUAAAUAAAAAUGAAAUAUAAAGAGUAUAAAAAUAAAAAAGAAAAUGCAGUUAAAAGAAUGUCAUUUUUAAUAAAAAUGUGAAUGUGAACUACAGAUGUAUGGUACAUAUGACCAACACAUAUAUUGCCAAUACAAAAUCUUAUGCAAAAAGUAACAUGCAUGAAUUAAUGAUUUGAUGCUUACAUGUAUAGAGUAAUGAAAAAAAAUGUAAUUUAUGACUUACAUGCAUUAGUUGUUCAUGUGACAUACUCCCUCCGUACCUAAAUAUAAGUCUUUUAAGAUAUUUCACUACGUGUCUACAUACGGAGCAAAAUGAAUGAAUCUAUACUUUAAAGUAUGUCUAUAUACAUCCGUAUGUAGUUCAUUAGUUGAACCUCUAGAAAGACUUAUAUUUAGG
rnacentral:lncRNA from 1 species